rnacentral:rRNA from 1 species
CCUACGGGGGGCAGCAGUGGGGAAUAUUGCGCAAUGGGCGAAAGCCUGACGCAGCGACGCCGCGUGAGGGAUGAAGGUCUUCGGAUCGUAAACCUCUGUCAGCAGGGAAGCACGGUCCCUUUUCUAAUCAGCAGUGCAUUGACGGUCCCUGCAAAGGAAGCACCGGCUAACUCCGUGCCAGCAUCCGCGAUAAUACGGAGGGUGCGAGCGUUAAUCGGAAUUACUGGGCGUAAAGCGCUCGUAGGCGGUAUGUCAAGUCAAGGGUGAAAUCCCCGCGCUCAACGUGGGAACUGCCUUUGAAACUGGCAAACUGGAGUGUGUGAGGGGAUAGUGGAAUUCCAGGUGUAGGAGUGAAAUCCGUAGAGAUCGGGAGGAACAUCAGUGGCGAAGGCGACUAUCUGGCACAUAACUGACGCUGAGGAGCGAAAGCGUGGGUAGCAAACAGGAUUAGAUACCCUUGUAGUC